CAUUUCACAUCUUCGAAAUAUCCUACACACCGGAAAUCUGAUUCAAUUCGGACCAAAAAAUGGAAACCUAAAAAUAGAAUUUCUCUCAUUAACCCUCUGAAGUUCAAAAAAUUUACGGUUUCAACUCCAUAUUCUCUCUAUCCGAAUACUAUAUAUAUCAAUCUGUAUAAUUUCAGUUUGUAUUUCAAGAUCCAUUUCAAAUUUGGAGCAUUACCAGUUUCACAUAAGGUACUCGCUUGGAAAUUCAGGAUUCGUUUGGAUAUAACUCUAUAUGGAUAAUUUGGGAUUUGAG